CCCAGCCUAGCGGGAUUAGACAGAGGAGCCUGAAGUGAACCAGGUGCAGCCCAGAUGGUAGUAUAUUGACUCCAGCAUCUCCAACAAUAGAAAAAGGAAAUGACCUGUUUGUGACCUGCCAGCUCCCUCUGCCCGAUUGUAAGGGACCUAGUCCUCUCUGGCUAUCACUGCUUCCUGGGAAUGGUCUGGAACGCAUUGACUUGGAGCUUGGCUUGCCUGAUCUGAUGUUUUCAUGUCAGCCUAGAAAUCUGUGCAGGUCAAAUUCCAGCCUUUCCUCAGUCACCCAUGUGACCUCAGGCAGCUCCCAAGCUCACGUCUCUCUGUGGAAAGUGGGAAUGGUUAGUAACUACACAGCUCUCAUGUGCUCACUGGAGCCAUAUGAGACAUCCGGGGAGACUCAGCCAGAUCCUGGAUGGUGCCACGUCAGUCUCUAGGGAGGAGGUCACAGCUGCUGAAAGGAGGUCCAGGUCAAAAGGGAAACCUGAGGAUGUGCCUGUAUGGAAGGAGAUGAGCCAAGUCCAUGGGCAGACAGGGCCUGCAGAGCAAGGCCAUGGCCAGUUACCACAAACCUGCAGAGACAGCGGAACCAGCCACCUGUGCAGCCACAGACCCUCUCAGCUAUCACAGGUCACUCAGAUAACAGCCAGGGCCUGAAAAGUUGAAACCCAGGACAGGUUAAGGCCAACUUGCGAGACAUCAACACCAGGAAAGCCACCAAACCACCCAGGACACAAAGAAAGGUUUGUAAGAGCCUUGGGUCAAACUGGCCGCCAAAGCCAGCGUGGAGCUUAAAGGAGACCCAGCCAUGAGAUCUGGAAGGCAAGAGAAAGUGGCUGGGUUGGGCAAAAGGCCAGAAAGCUGUCUCGUCUCUGGUUUUGUUUUCCUCCUCCCUCGUCCGUCCGUCCGUCCGUCCGUCCGUCCUUCCUGGCUCCUUCCCCACGGUGCUAUCCCUCCCAGUCUGUGGCCGAAGAGGACAUUCCAUCAGGUCUGAUGUCAGAGCUCUCUACCACCACCACCACCCAGCUUCCUGUGUGUGAGCUCUGCCUCCAGGAGAGCUUCCCCCCGCCCCUCCAUGGUGUGUCCCCAGAUGCAAAGUGUCUUCAUUCUGUCACAGAACCUUGGACACCUGAGCUUUCAAGGUCAAAGAUGCAUCUCUGGUCAGGUGGGAUUACAGCAGCAGUGUCGGCUUCCCCUAAUCCCAUGUUUCAACAUCCCCUGGAAGGAAGGCGUUUAGACAUUUUCUUCUUCCUCAUCCCUCCUCGUGACGUUUUAACACCACAGCGAUGCUGUACAAUCAGAGUGCUCUGCGGUUAUCCCUGUGUGUUUUCAUAAAGCGGGAUCUUGUUAGACCGCA